GAUGAAACGUAGCGAAAUGCGAUAAGUAAUGUGAAUUGCAGAAUUCAGUGAAUCAUCGAAUCUUUGAACGCACAUUGCGCCCGCCAGUAUUCUGGCGGGCAUGCCUGUCUGAGCGUCAUUUCAACCCUCAUGCCCCUAGGGCGUGGUGUUGGGGAUCGGCCAAAGCCCGCGAGGGACGGCCGGCCCCUAAAUCUAGUGGCGGACCCGUCGUGGCCUCCUCUGCGAAGUAGUGAUAUUCCGCAUCGGAGAGCGAUGAGCCCCUGCCGUUAAACCCCCAACUUUCCAAGGUUGACCUCAGAUCAGGUAGGAAUACCCGCUGAACUUAAGCAUAUCAAUAAGCGGAGGA
rnacentral:misc_RNA from 1 species